GAGUAGGCCGGCGCGCGUUAAGUGCCCGAAGGACGGAGAGUUGUCUUCGGGACGAAAAGGGGCUUUCCCUUGCGGUGCGUCUGCCGCAUCUCGCU
rnacentral:ncRNA from 1 species